rnacentral:ncRNA from 1 species
CUUAUCAAGAGUGACUGAGGGGUCAGGCCCUAUGAAGUCCGGCAACCUGCUUUUGCAAGGUGCUAAUUCCUGCGGUAAUACCGAAAGAUGAG